GGAAUAUUGGACAAUGGAGGCAACUCUGAUCCAGCCAUGCCGCGUGUGUGAAGAAGGCCUUCGGGUUGUAAAGCACUUUCAGCGGGGAGGAAGAGUGUUGUGUUAAUAGCACAGCAGUUUGACGUUAGCCGCAGAAGAAGCACCGGCUAACUCCGUGCCAGCAGCCGCGGUAAUACGGAGGGUGCAAGCGUUAAUCGGAAUUACUGGGCGUAAAGCGCACGUAGGCGGUAUGUUAAGUUGGAUGUGAAAGCCCCGGGCUCAACCUGGGAAUUGCAUUCAAAACUGGCAUGCUAGAGUAUGUGAGAGGGGGGUAGAAUUCCAAGUGUAGCGGUGAAAUGCGUAGAGAUUUGGAGGAAUACCAGUGGCGAAGGCGGCCCCCUGGCACAAUACUGACGCUCAGGUGCGAAAGCGUGGGGAGCAAAC
rnacentral:rRNA from 1 species